UCCAAUGCAGCGCCGAUCCAUUAUGAUCGUCCACCGUCUAUAGUUCGAUCUCUAUCCAAGCCCAUCUCCGGCCGUCCAUCAAGGCCGAUCGCCAUUUCUAACGCCGCUGCCAAAAUUCCACGUCCGCGAUGAUCUCCCCCGUUUCUCCGUCUCCUGGUCGAGCGAAAGCCCUCCUCCUCCCUCGAUUCUUGCUUCGUCCCCUCGAUCGGAGGAAUCCAGAUCCAGGAACAUAGAUCGGUCGUAUUCCUCUCGGGUUCCUCCUCCUCGGUCUUGUGGAAGAAGGCGGCUCUGAGUUCUAGCUUCGCUUUCGAUUUUUGAAGCUCACCUCGGUUGUAGCUCCGCCUCGUGGUCGAUCCGAGACUGGUUUUCUAUUAGUUCGGCUUCUUUUCGUGUGAAAAUGGCGUCUCGGCCGGAUCAGGUGCCGGAUAUGCGGCUGUUCGAUGCCUACUUUCUGAGAGCAGAUGUGGAUCGGGAUGGGAGGAUCAGCGGCAAGGAGGCGGUGACUUUCUUUGAGGGAUCCAAUUUGCCGAGACCCGUUUUGGCUCAGUUCGGAGAUCUGCUCUCUUCGUAUUUUGAUAGAUGGGACAUAUUUUUAGAGCAAAACUGAUGUAUUGCAACAAUGGAGCAAGAUUUGGAAGAAAGGAAUAUGCACUGACCGUGUCCCAUGACAUAGGUGAGCUCCUACUAGCGAUAUUGACUGAAGAAUGGAGGAUUUUUAGCAUCCAUAAAGGUCCAAGCCAUGCCUUGUUCGUAGUUUUAUUACCUCCAACUGAAGCUAACACAGCUUGGGCGUGCCUUGUCCGGAGAUUCAAUGCCUCCGACAGCAACCAACAUGGUGCAACCAGGCUUUUUUGGUGCGAUUGUGUCUCCUCCCAAAGAAUAACCAAAGAGUUACAUGGUUUGGCUGUACCUAAAAGGCACAACCGUGUCUUGGCUAGCAUCAGUUGGUUGAGGCCGACAAGGCAUGAUCGUGCCAAAAAGGGACAGUUAUGUCACGUCCUGGGCAGGGGCCACGUGGGCCCAUUUCCCAACCUUUUUGAAAUAUUUGGAGGGCUAUAAAUAACCCAAAAAUCCCUAAUUAAGGGAGGAGGGUUCUCCCCUUUCUAGGGGACCGUCGACUUUGACGAUCUAUCCACCAUCCAAGCGAGGAUUCCAUUCGAGAAGACUGGUAAAGCAUUGUUAAGCAUCCUUUUUCCUCUCUACUAUGUUUUUGAGUUGUAAAAUGUUAUUAUUCUUAUCUCUUGGUUGUAUUUUCCUUGCUAUGGAGUAGAUCUUUGGACUCUAGGAUGUAGGAAGUAAUUAUAAUGUGAUGUUGAUGUGUGAACUUUGUAUUUGGGCAUUUCCUUAUUCUAUGAUAUGUAUAUUUCUUGUUCUAGAUUGA